UACGUAGGGUGCAAGCGUUGUCCGGAAUUAUUGGGCGUAAAGAGCUCGUAGGCGGUUUGUCGCGUCUGCUGUGAAAACUCGGGGCUUAACUCCGGGCCUGCAGUGGGUACGGGCAGACUAGAGUGCGGUAGGGGAGACUGGAAUUCCUGGUGUAGCGGUGAAAUGCGUAGAUAUCUGGAGGAACACCGGUGGCGAAGGCGGCAUCCUGGACCAACACUGACACUGAGGAGCGAAAGCCAGGGGAGCAAACGGG
rnacentral:rRNA from 1 species